rnacentral:rRNA from 1 species
GUGGGGAAUAUUGGGCAAUGGGGGAAACCCUGACGCAGCAAUACCGCGUGAGUGAAGAAGGUUUUCGGAUCGUAAAACUCUUUUAUUGGGGAAGAAGAAGUGACGGUACCCAAUGAAGAAGUCCCGGCUAACUACGUGCCAGCAGCCGCGGUAAUACGUAGGGGACAAGCGUUGUCCGGAAUCACUGGGCGUAAAGGGCGCGUAGGCGGUUUUAUAAGUCAGAUGUGAAAGGUACCGGCUCAACCGGUGACGUGCAUUUGAAACUGUAAGACUUGAGUACUGGAGAGGCAAGUGGAAUUCCUAGUGUAGCGGUGAAAUGCGUAGAUAUUAGGAGGAACACCGGUGGCGAAGGCGGCUUGCUGGACAGAUACUGACGCUGAGGUGCGAAAGCGUGGGGAGCGAACAGGAUUAGAUACCCCGGUAGUCC